rnacentral:lncRNA from 1 species
UAGAAAGAAGAGAGAGAGAGAGAGAUAUUAUUGAACUUGUGGAGAAGAUAGUUGGAGCAACAUCAGCCCCUUACAAAGUAGUGUGGGUUCCUUUUAUAUAGGAGGGGAACCCGAUUAUAGUACAAUAUGCAUUAAUAGGACGGCUCUGGCAGACUUUACCGUGUGUUUUGGGAACGUCCCCUCCUGCUAUAGCCCUGACCUCCGUCUUCUUUGAGUCGGGCCCGACGAGCCCCGAAGGAGGGGACUCGGUCGCAGAUCCACAUCCUCGGGGUCUUGAGGUAUUCUUCCGAAGUGGCUUGACAGCGAGAAACUAAGUCCUCUGAUUUCGCCGCAUACAGAUAGUCUCCGCGUAUCUCAGAACGAAGCGAUGGGAAAUGAUUCUUACACCUGACUCCACGAGUUCCUUACGGUGAUGUCAUACCAAUUGUCACACCUCCUUUUUACACACCCGAGAGGGGAUAUAAGGGAGUUUUUCCACUUUAAAUGACAUUAUUCGAAAUGGGAUUAUUUAUUCAAAUUAGAGUCGCCACUUGGAAUACUUUAAUUGGUGUCCCAAGUCACCGAUUUAUUUUAAAUCACAACUCGAGGACAUUCGACUUUCCUUUUGAAGUCUACGAACCAAAAAUUCUAAGUAAGGAAUUCUGUUAACUCGGGAGAAGGUGUUAGACAUUCCCGGAUUCCGUGGUUCUAGCACGGUCACUUAAACUAUUAUAAUUGUCCUAUUAUUUGAUUUUAAUACAUGUUUUAGCCUAUGGUAUAUUUUAACUUAUUAACCGCUUUUAAUUAAUUUUAGAAAGAUUUAAUGUUAUCUAAAACAUAUCAUGAACCACGCCACAUAAAAUGCACCCUCGGUCCACGACACAUUUUAUUUAACGUUGUUGAGAAUUGGAAUAGGGUCACAUGAAAUGCAUACCCGAGUUUAAUAAAUAAGGAAAUCAAUUUAAAUAGCGUGCCUAAAGCAGCUACGCACUUUCAAAUUAACAAGAAGGUUUACGAGGGCCAUGAAAAAUUCAACUUAUGGCACACCUCGAUUUCUAAAUAGUUAAAAUUAAUUAAUUGAGGGUCAUGGGAUUGAGAUUUUAUUCGGCAUGGCAUGCCUCGAAUUAUUCUAUUAAAAGGAUUUCUAAAUUUAGUUUUUGAGGGCCAUAAAUUGCACGUUUGACUAAUAUGGCACACCUCAAACUAAUUUAAAGAGUCUAAUUAAUUAAGGAAGUCUUAAAGAAAUUCUAACUAUUUUAGGUUAAUGUUCAAACUUGACUUAAUAAUUAACGGGCUUGUAUGAAAUUGAAGAUAAGCAUUUGGUUGCCUGGAAGGACUAAACCAGCAGCAGGCCUAGCAUUUCUCUUGAGCGUGUAUGUACCCAGAUACAAGGGAGGGACUAGGCUCACGUGAAGCCCAAACCGUGUAAGUGAACAGUAGAAUGGCAUUUUUUACGCAAUUAGGCCAAACGUUGCAGCCCAGUUACACGACUCAGCACUGAUGAAUGAUGCAAACUACAUUUCUUCAUGGAACUCUGGAGAUUUAAAAGACUACUGCCAAACUAUUGCACACUUUAGACAAAUGCAAAGCAUAUUCAUGAUGCCAAAUUCCAUUCUAUAAUUAGACGUAUCCUGAUGCUACAAUAAUUCAUACGCAAUUACCCUUAUCUAAAAAAUAAUUCAUGACUUACAUCCAAAUAGUAACAUGAUUCCCAAACAAAGAAUGCAUUUACUAAUAAGAACCCCAAUUGGAAAUUUCUGAUUUCAAACCUAUACAUAUUAUCUUAACCAAUUCAAGCAAAUCCAUAAAACAAACACUGACCCCAAUAAACUUAAAUAGAUAUGAAGCAAGAAUAUGUAGUUCAGCUUAGAACUUCUGUUACAGUAAUCCCACAGUCCAUACAUGUCCUAAUAACAACUUCUAUAGCUUUAUAAAUUAACAUGCAAAAUUUAAACAGCUCUUCUAUAGACCAGAUUUAAACGAGUAACAUAAAUGAACAAACAGAAUACAGGAAGAUAAAACUAAACUACUACCAAAAUUGAGUGAGUUUAAGAACAUAAAAGGGACAUUUGAUAAACAUAGAGGCCAUAGAUUUCCAAUUUAAUCAAAAGCUGCCAAUCCUUUUAUUUCAACAUGUUAAUGGGGUUCAGUAAGUACCUGGUUACAGUAAUCAAAAACAAGGAAAAUGAGCUUGAAGUUUAAGAGGAAACAACAGCAGUAAGUCAGCAAUGGAACAAUACAGAAUCUGCAGAUCAGCCUCAAACUCUCGACCCAAUUCCAAACAUUUAAACCCAGAUGCACUAUUCUAUUGAACUUUUAGAAAUUCUGACUUAUCAAAAGGAAUUAGAACCAAAAAAACAAGCAAAUUUUGAGCAAUUUUCAGUA